CCGUUUUCUGUGCUUUGUCUGGGCUGUCAGUUAAAUUUAUUUAUUUUUUUCCCCUGCGCUCAACUCUCGCCUCGCAUUUUCUGCGUCUUUUUGGUUAAUUGGCUAAAAAUUUUCUACCAAAUUACUUUAAUUAUGACAGUUACACAGACCCCUUUACAAGUAUAAAGGUAUAUAUAUCUGUAUACCUAUAGACACAAGUCUUUCUUUCUUUAGUGUUUAGUUGCGCUUAUUGCCUUGGCCGCUCUUCAUCUGUCAUUCCCCAUUCCUCGAUUUAUUCGCUGUCAUCUUUUGGAUGCUCUAGCUUUUCAAAAUGUGUUAAGUAAUUGAUGAUAUUAUUGUUACGGCUGCGGCAGAGCCGAAGACACUAUUUUGAAUAGUGGGUCAGUUGAAUAGACUUGCGAAUGGCUGGCUGCGAUGAUUUCGUAAUAACCAUAUAGGCGUGUGCCUGCAAGCGAUGAAUUUCUUCGUUUCCUUUCUAAAAAAUAGGUUACUGAUUGCUUUUUAUUUUGAUAUCGCAGCGAUAGAACGAGUGAGAGUCAGCGGGAAUCUCAUAAACAUCAUUUAACCAGCUCGAAAAAAUGGGUAUAGUGCUAGUGAUCAAAUAAUUUAUAUAUUAAUGGAUACAAAGAAAUAUAUUAUGCGGAAUUUUGUCUUUUUGGUCAGUUGGCACAAGCCAAGUUUUUCGAAAGAUCCUUAUGUGAGCAUGCAAAUUCGUACAUUUCAAAAGUUGUGUUCUUUCGGACAUUCGGAAACUGAUAACAGCAUGGAACAUUUGGGCAACUGGCAAAGAAGGAUGCUGGUUCGAAUCCCAGAAUAGUAUAUGAAUGUAGCACGAAUAUGGCAACUGGCAAAGAAGGAUGCUGGUUCGAAUUCCAGGCCAGUGUAUGGUUGUAGUAAAAUACUAAAUGAUGAUCUCUUAAAGUUAAGCCAAUUUAUAACAAUAUCCUAUACUUAUAGUAUUAAUAACUAAUAAAGCAACAUCGUUAGUUCCAAAGCUAAA